rnacentral:lncRNA from 1 species
CCACCACGCCCGGCCUCAUUUACAAAUUUUCUAAAUAAACGUCCUGAGAAAAGAGACAAAAGGAAGGGAAAUCUUUUCCUUUAUUCUCAAAGGAGGAAUUAUGCCUCUCAUUUAUUUGCUUGUUUGAGACAGGGUCUAGCUCUGUCACCCAGGCUGGAGUGCAGUGGUGAGAUCAGGGCUCACUUCAGCCUCAAAAUCCCUGCUUCAACUGAUCCUCCCACUUCAGUGCCCAGAGUAGCUGGGACCACAGCAGUGCACCACCACACCUGGCUGACUUUUUUUACUUUUAGCAGAGAAGAGGUCCCCUAUGUCGCCCAGGCUGGUCUUGAAUCCCUAGGCUCACGUCACCCACCUGCCUGGGCCUCUAAAACCGCUGGGAUUACAGGCCUGAGCCACUGCGUCUGGUCUCAUCGUAAAUUUGAUGUUUCUUCUUGUUUUAACAGAAUUUGUAUUGCUGUGAUAGAGGUUCUUUUCAAACUGAUGUCUUAUCCUUCUGAGUGCCUCAAACUAGAGCCUGUUCAGACGUUAUAACAAGUUUAUACUGGUUUAUUUUGGUACAAAAAGUGUGAAAUUUAUGCACAAAUUUUUCAUAAUAUGUAUUUUUCCAUGAACUUCUUGAAGACCCUUAUACUAGCAAACUGUAUUCAAGAGGAUAUAAAAAGGGAUUGUAAACAUCCAAGUGCUACCUAUUCAUGGGAUGCAAGGAUGGUUCAACAUACUCAAAUCAAUGGGAUACACACUUGCACAGAAUGACAGAUAAAAAACACAUUAUCUCAAUAGAUAGAGAAAAAGCAUUUCACAGAACUCAAUAUUCAUUCUUCGUAAAAAUCCUAAACAAUAUAGGUAGAGUUUUACCUCAAAAAUAUAAAAAUCAUCCAUGAAAUGACCACAGCUGAAAUAACCAAUGAAGGAAAAUGGAAUGGUUUUCCUGUAGGAUAUCACAUGAUGCAAGAAUGCUCUCACCCCUGAUAUUCAAUAAAUACUGGCUGUCCUAGGCAGAGCAAUUAAAUAGCAAAAGAAAUAAAACUCAUCCAAAUCAGAAAGACAGAAGUAAAAUUACAUUUGUUGGGGCCGGG